CUAGUUGGCGGGGUAAUGGCCCACCAAGGCUUUGAUCGGUAGCCGGCCUGAGAGGGCGCACGGCCACACUGGAACUGAAACACGGCCCAGACUCCUACGGGAGGCAGCAGUGGGGAAUAUUGCGCAAUGGGCGAAAGCCUGACGCAGCGACGCCGCGUGGGGGAUGAAGGCCUUCGGGUUGUAAACCCCUUUCAGCAGGGACGAAGCGAAAGUGACGGUACCUGCAGAAGAAGCGCCGGCUAACUACGUGCCAGCAGCCGCGGUAACACGUAGGGCGCAAGCGUUGUCCGGAAUUAUUGGGCGUAAAGAGCUCGUAGGCGGUCUGUUGCGUCCGCUGUGAAAACUCGGGGCUUAACCCCGAGCCUGCAGUGGAUACGGGCAGACUAGAGGUAGGUAGGGGAGAAUGGAAUUCCCGGUGUAGCGGUGAAAUGCGCAGAUAUCGGGAGGAACACCGGUGGCGAAGGCGGUUCUCUGGGCCUUACCUGACGCUGAGGAGCGAAAGCGUGGGGAGCAAACAGGAUUAGAUACCCUGGUAGUCCACGCCGUAAACGUUGGGCGCUAGGUGUGGGGUCCUUCCACGGAUUCCGUGCCGCAGCUAACGCAUUAAGCGCCCCGCCUGGGGAGUACGGCCGCAAGAUUAAAACUCAAAGGAAUUGACG
rnacentral:rRNA from 1 species